AUUAUUUUGAGAGGAGGAAGAGAAUCUGAAAAAGCAAUAUUAUCCUCGAUGAUUGUUGUUACCGAAAUAUCGGCCCCUGACGGCAAAAGACGACCGAAUCCUUCCUGGAUAUCCCUUUGGGACGUAGUUCCGGCCCAAUGUCAACCCUUUGCCGUUCAGACCCAGUGGUGGUCAGAUUUGGCCCACAUGCCAUACCUUACAGACGAGGCAGACAUGAUCCAUUGUCGGCAAUCCGGGAAACCCCUUGAUGGCAAAUGUGACUGGCCUGACGAAAGGAGAAGAAGCCUCCACCGUCCGCCAUGAGCCCUGAGACAACCUGUUUAGCCCCCAUGAGGAAGAGGCGGAAGUCAACAUUGUACGGCUCUACUCGUUGGGAGAACAAAGGACAAUUUUGUUAGGGUGCUGGGAGGUCAGUCGAUCCAUUUUGCAUAAGGAUAAUGAAUGUUAACGAUUGGAGUCGGGAGCCAGGAAGCCAUGCAGAGCCAAGAGGGCCUGGGGAAUUGCAUAUUAAACAUCAGUGAGCCAGCAUAGACAAGAUGAAAAGUCUCUGAAGCGGAGUACAGGUGCAACUUCUGUGUUAUACUCCGCCAAUUCGAUUCUGGACCUUCAAUCCAAUCAAAUCGACAUCAUCGCCGUGGAUUUCCAUUGGACGCACGAAUCACCCUCAUCAAAAAGUAGGAUCAAACCAUUUUCUGUCCAUGUAUGUUUUCCCUCUUCCAUGGCCAAGCAAUUACCCCCUCUUUGCACGACAGCUGAUUGGUAGAGUGUCAUUAACGUGUAGAGCAAUGAGGGAAGCUCACAACUUUUUCAUCACUAGAGUUCGCGAGAGGGCUUCGCCGGAAACAACAAUUAAAGAUCCCUCACCAUUGACAUCAUUGAUCACGGUUCUACCUUGGGAAUCGAGUACUAGUGAUAGAUAAGGAAUUGCAAUGGAUUCCGAGUGGGCCCAAAUGAGUAUUGUGCAAGUGCGAACUGAACUUGUCAAGAUGGGGGCCAAAGCAUCUGGCCGCAAAGGUGAGUUGAUCAUUCGUCUUCGAGAUUAUUUCCGAAAUUCGAACUUUCAGGGUCCGCCUAUUUCUUUGCCGGAAGAGCAACCCAUGCCUAAUUGGCCUCACUUUGGCUCUCGAUCAGUGACCUUACACCCUUGGAAUUGCCUCCCCAAAGUACUGCAUGAACAUGUUAAACAGUACGUCGUGACAAGACAAGUAAUGGACAAAAGGAGUUCUUGUGAUCACAGUGCUUUGAAGCGAGGGAAAAAGAUGGAUGAUUCCGUUCAAGCUCUUAGCUUUUUGAAAACUCCUUCAUUUCGCCAGAGACAAUCCCAGUGAAUAAAACAAGUUCAGAAGUUCUUGUCCCACAAUAUCAAGAUCAAAGCUCUGGCGAAGUACUAAACUCGGCCUGUGAAUGCCCUGCUGGAAAUAGACUGUCGACCACUUGCAAACAUGUCGUAUAGGUGCUUCUCCAGCUUGUCAAAUUUGCGUCCGGAGGUGAGCUUGGAGUCCGGAAAAGCUGUACUGACAAGCUUGAGACUUUCAAGCGACCAACAAAAGCUCAUCAAGGUUCUCCACUUUAAAAGAAUCAUGAUGCGAAAUUCUCUCAAUUUGGAGAGUGAAGACGAUGAAGACCCAAGAUUGGAGAUUGAUUGAAAGCAACCCAAUUUUACAAGUGAGGUCCGAAAUACGACGACAAACUGUUGUUCCCAAUUUUCAAGAGACAUUACCCUCAGUUACUCAUACGUAAUAGCAAAUUUUCAAGCGGCAGUGGACGAUCACCAUUACCUUGCAAAAAGAUUUUCUGAAUAUUAGAUUCGAGACAAGAUCAAAGUUACAACAGAAAAAGCUGAUGUUGUCGCAAUCUGCGUGUCG